AAUAGUAAAACGGAUAAUCGACUCUUCUAUGAAUCCACACCAUCCACAUCAUGAGGUCUACACAAUGAACGGUGCGGAUUUACCCGGUAUUGAGAUCCAGGAGCUCGUUAGAAUCGCUGUGUCGGUGAUCGGUGCCCUAAGCUUCCUUGCACCCAAAGUGACGCCUUCUUCAAAAUCGAAGCACAGUAGAACCACGACUUUAGCUGAAAAUAGUCAAAAGCGCGUUUCUCGUCGCUCGUCUUCACCACAGACCCAAAUUACAGGGAGAUCAAGAAUCAACAGUAUUUCCUCCAUUCUCCCCCGCCAUUUUCUUAAUCUGCAAAAACACAAUUUUUUCCUUCGCCGGAUCGACACGAUUUAAUUCGAUUCGCGCAUGUAGAAGGAGUGGAAUUAUCAGCGGGGCUUGAAAAUGGACGCCGUGUCGAUCCGAGUGCCGUACAAGAAUUUGAGGCAAGAGGUGGAAUUAGUCGGAGCAGAUGAGUCGGAGCGGCGUCGCUCUUCGCAGAUCCACGCCUCAUCGUCUUCGUCGGAUUCUGGAGGAGAUCGGAUCGAUGAACCGCCGAAGCACUGCAGCUUGCUAACGUUGGUGCUCAGCUGUAUGGUGGCCGCCGGGGUACAGUUUGGGUGGGCUCUUCAAUUAUCAUUGCUCACUCCUUAUAUACAGACUCUUGGUAUAGGGCAUGAGUUCUCUUCGUUUAUAUGGCUAUGUGGUCCCAUAACAGGCCUUGUGGUUCAACCGUGUGUUGGCAUAUGGAGUGAUAAAUGCACUUCAAAAUAUGGGCGACGCAGACCGUUUAUAUUAGUUGGAUCUCUCAUGAUCUCUGUUGCAGUCAUAAUAAUUGGGUUUUCUGCAGACAUCGGGUACAUUCUAGGAGAUACAAAAGAACAUUGCAGCACAUUCAAAGGCACUCGCACUAGGGCAGCUAUUGUCUUUGUAAUUGGGUUUUGGAUGCUGGAUCUUGCAAACAACACUGUGCAGGGCCCAGCUCGAGCACUUCUGGCAGAUCUAUCAGGUCCUGAUCAGAGAAAUUCUUCAAAUGCCAUAUUUUGCACUUGGAUGGCUGUUGGAAACAUUCUUGGAUUCUCUUCUGGGGCUAGUGGAAACUGGCAUAGAUGGUUUCCUUUCCUGACAAGUAGAGCUUGCUGCGAACCAUGUGGGAAUCUCAAAGCAGCAUUUUUAAUUGCAGUGGUCUUCCUUACAUUCUGUACGCUUGUGACAAUCUACUUUGCAAAGGAAGUACCAUUGAUGCCCAAACAACCUCACCAUCUGACAGAUUCUACUCCUCUGAUAGACGAUCACCAUCUAAAUGGAUCUGAUCUUUCAAAAUCGAAAGUUGAUUCAGACUCAAACAAUUAUGAUUUGCAAGUUAAGUCCAAGGACCAUUUCUUGAUGGAUGGUGACAGGACCGAACAACCAAAAAAUGAUGAAAAUGAUGACAAUUAUUUUGACAGCCCUGGGGCUGUUUUGGUCAAUUUGCUAACUAGCUUGCGGCAUUUACCUCCAGCUAUGCAUUCAGUGCUGAUUGUCAUGGCCUUGACUUGGUUGUCCUGGUUUCCCUUCUUUCUGUUCGACACUGACUGGAUGGGAAGAGAAGUUUAUCAUGGAGACCCUAAAGGAGAGGCUGAGGAAAUUCAGGUUUAUAAUCAAGGCGUCCGAGAAGGUGCAUUUGGUUUGCUAUUGAAUUCUGUUGUUCUGGGUGUCAGUUCCUUCUUAAUCGAACCAAUGUGCCAACGGAUGGGAGCUAAACUAGUUUGGGCUUUUAGCAACUUUAUUGUUUUUAUAUGCAUGGCUAGUACAGCUAUUAUAAGCUUCGUGUCUGUGAGACAAUAUUCUCAAGGGGUUCAGCAUGUUAUUGGAGCAAAUGGAUUUACUAAAAUUGCGUCGUUGAUUGUGUUUGCUAUUCUUGGCCUUCCCCUUGCUGUUACUUAUAGCGUACCAUUUUCCAUCACUGCUGAAGUGACUGCUGACUCAGGAGGUGGCCAAGGGUUGGCGAUUGGAGUUUUAAAUCUUGCCAUCGUUAUACCUCAGAUGGUUGUGUCCCUCGGAGCUGGUCCAUGGGAUGCAUUAUUUGGUGGUGGAAACAUUCCAGCAUUUGUUUUGGCUUCAGUUGCUGCUCUAGCAGCUGGCAUCAUCGCUGUUCGCAAGCUUCCAACUCUUAGCUCCUAUAGAACAUCGGGGUUUCAUAUGGGUUGAGUUUUUCUAUAAUCCAAUUUGGCAAUGGUCGAUGGUGCUCAUGUGCAUGGAGCUUACAAUUACCAUUUACAUCACCACGGAAGAAUAAUAAUAGUGGUGUGAUGGAUCAGUUGAAAGUUUCUGGAAAAUGUAAAAGACUUGCUGAUGAUUGUCCUUUCAAGUAAGUUUUUUUUAAAUUUUUAACAUUUACAGCUGAUGAAAGUCAUCUUAUAUAAUUAUAUAUUCCAUUUCCUCUCUUGUCUUUGUCUCUGGAAAAUUUAGGAAAUGUGGGGCACUUUUAGGCAAUUAUUUCCCAAUUCUGAUAGUUUGUGGGACACACUCAUUCUAAUUCUUGGUAUUUUAUAAAGUAUUUUAUUAUUUCUUGGAUUAAGAAAAAAUAGAGGGUUUGUUUUCUUGUGCAUGUAUUUUGAUUUUUGAGUGCAAUAGAUAUUAGAUUUGAUGUUUCGUAUAAAAAUACUUCCUCCUUUCGGAUAUAUUGUCAUAGUUAUUGUAGUGGUAAUUAUUAAACUAAUAAAAAUUAUGUUACAUAGAUAAU